CUUGAAGAUGGCAGAAAGCACAGUGCUGUAUGCUGAGGGCAGCCUGUCCGGUGGCACAUCCUCAUCUGUGUCCAGGCUGCCCGCUGUUGGAAGGAAACAUUCCCACCCAAAGCAUACACUGACACCCUCUCCCUUUGCAAGCAGAAUUAAUCAUCCUUAUGUGCCAUAUUCCAUUUUAAUUUUUAUUGCGCAGCCCAAGAUUAAUGGUUAAUGUAGUACAUCUCCCCAUCUCCACUCCCAUUAGAGUGGAGCGCUUUUGAAUAACUAUUAACUUCGCAGUUAACCGAAAGAAAAUUGUUAAUCAUUGACAAGCUUAUGUUGCAUAAAAAUCACUCUGUAACCUGACUGUGGGAGAGCCCUUUCCUCAGCACUGACCUUCAACGACACCUGGUACCUGCAAAACAAAAUCAGACGGCACAGCCUUAUCUGCUAGCCAAGCAGGUCGGUGCUGAUCUGCAGAGCACCAGGUGCCGUGGGGAUGUGUGCUGUGGCGUUGCAGCCAGUCCUUCCCUCGGCAGGAGGGUCUGGGAUGGGGACGAGGUCUUGUCCAGGCAUCGGAUGCUUGCCAGUGAGGCCCUGCACACCCCGUGUGCAGGAUGCUUCUGCUGCUUUCUCCCCGCCGAGGACCACGCAGCUGAGCGGGGCCGCAGAGGUGCGGUCUCCCUGUGGAGCGCUUACACGCGGGCUGUUUGCAUCCAGCCAUCCAGGAAAUAAAUCACAGGCUGUUUGUGAAGUAGGAGGGAAGCACUUGGGGCUGUGAAAGAUUAGACCGAGAGCCCUGCGCAACUCCCCUUCUGGCUGUAAAGAUGGGCUGCGGAUGUUAUGUUUUUUAGCUCUUUAAAUGAUUAUUUCUGUGCCAGACUUAUUAGGAAAGGUAUUGUUGGGAUCUUGGCAACGAUAUAAAUACAACUGCGGGCUUCGCAGUCAUUCCCCUCUGAGUCUGGUCACUGUCAGGCAUGGAGCUAAUAGGCCUGGGACUGUGUGCUACAGUAAACAGCCUCUGCAGCUGCUAGUUGCUGAAUGUAACUAUAUAUUGCUCCAAAUACAAACAUUUCCACAUUAGGCAUUGCGUGUCCUCCCCCGGCACGGAGCUGCAGCCAUUGACCUCGGGAGCCUGCGCUGCGUCAGCUUGGCCGCGCUGCUCCUCGGCCAGCAAAUCCCUUCGCUUUUUAUGACCGUGGCUCUCAAAAGCGAGAGCAACAACCCCAGCUCUCGGGUCAAGUUUAGCGUGGCCAAGCAUUGUGCAAGCUCCUGCAAGCAGUUCGGCUGCCAGCGGCCACAGGGUGGUUGAGAUGGGACCUGCUGAGGACUGGGGUGACAAAGGAGGGAGCAGGGGGUGCCCAUGGGGAGCAGGGAGAAAACCCUCCUUCUGGAAGGGCUCACACGAGCAGAGCUCUGUGCUAAUUCAGGUGGUGGAAAACAGCUGGCCAAGCCGAGCGCAGGCCUGCUGGCUCCUCCUGGUGUGUAUUACUGUGGCAGCAAGGGGCUGGGGGAAGGCACGCGGAGCUCCAGGAGCUCCUAGGACUUUCCAGACACCUCCAGCUGGCCCCACCAAGCCCUGCAGGGGCUUGGAGCCGCUCUCAGCUCUUGCACAGCCUUUGGGCAAGUUGCUUUCCAUGCAAGCAUGAAGACCUGUGAAGGUGUCCCCAGCUCCACUGAGCCGGGUGCUUCAUCCACUCUUCUUCCUCCCCUGCUGGUUGCUUUUGCACCGUGCUGUCCAGGCCCUGCUUGUGCGCCGUCUGAUUAAUUACGUGUUGGCCUGCUUACAUCAGCCCUCCUGCCUGCUUCUCUGUGGCCAAAUAAACUACUACUUGCUGCCGCAGGAAAGAAAGACAGACACCUUUUGCUGUUUGGCCGAAUCCAGGCUGGAUCAGCUGGCCAGGUGCACAGCCAAUUUCCAUUGCUGCUUUGAAGCUCAGAAGUAUUUUCAAAAUAAUAGAGCCUUUAGCCCUGUAAGUAAAAGCCAUUUAUCUUAGGAUGAAAAAAAAGUGCUGGCAUGGAAAAAUUCCAAUGCUAUGAAAUUCUCUUUUCCUGAAUGUCUUGGAUACUUGCUGGAUUAGGUCCGCUGCUAAGGAGCUCAGGGUUAUGAAUGUCUCUUUUACAGAAAAGAGCUGCAGAGGAAAAAGGCGAGCGCCGGCACGCUUGUAAGUGGGACAGCGUGAGAUUCCCCAUGGACUGGCCAUUUGUGAGAUUGCUUUUAGAGGCACGGUCAGCAUCGCUGCAGCGAGCCGAACUGGUAGUAAAUACCCUAUUGUAACCACGGUCGUUACCAAUCCCCCAGGGUAUAGUACCGGCAGAAUACCUUAUAUAAACAAAAGUGAAGGACUAUUGGCUUUGCUCGGCACGGCUGUUUAAUAAUGCUCCACACGGAGAGUGUCAAAGUCUUUUACAGCUGCUAAUGAAAUUAGCUGCUUUCCAUCCAGGAGACACCCGGGUAGGAGAGGACAUUCUGCAGCCCCUGGCUGACUUUACAGCCACCUCCUGGCUGGUUUCCACCACCUGGCAUGUGGGCAGUGUGGGUAGAGGUGGACCUCGUGUCUGCUUGCAGUGGUUGAGCUCCAAGACUUCUCCUGUAUGGCUGCUGACUGCAAAUAGCAGCUGUCUGGGUGCUGGGGACACUGGAGUCAGGCUCUCCUGCUCGGAUUGUGCAAUGGUGAAGCUGAGCUCUUCAGCCCAGGCAUGCUCUGCACCAUUUCGGGACUGUGUUUCCCUCCCUGCUCAGCGAAGCCAACACGGUCUCCUCACAGGGAGUUUCUCUUUUUCUUGGUAGGCUGCUUCUCCCUCCUGGCUGCCAGGUCUGAACCACAGAGCAUUUUCUAUUUGGAUCUGACCCUUUCAGAAGCAUUUGCCUUGCACCCUAAUUUUCUGACCAUGACUUUGACCUCCUUGGGUGAAAGGGGAAAAUGUAAAGGCUGGUUUAGUGUGGAAGCCCAGUAGAGGGAAAGUUGCCUGCAAUGUUCUUGCCCUUCUUACGCACAGUAGUUUUGUCACAAACACCAGUGCUGGCCCUGGGGUUGUUAUUGGAGCUACCACUGCUGAUGUGCUUUAAAUAGAUCCUAAGCAAACCUCUCUGUUUGUUUUUCUUGACAUGGUACUGACUGGUGCUUUCCAAGAAAAAAGAAAAAAAUGCUGAAUUCACAGUGGUGACUUUGAUUCCAUCUGGCAAAAGCAAACUGAUCUCUGAAAUGAGACAGGCACGGCCAUGAAGAGGAAAAGUAAAUGGGCUGCUGUGAGAAGCAGCCUUUUCCUUCUGACUCAGUGUCUUCAAGUCACAAAGCCUUGACGGUGCUUGGUUAGGAGACCCCUCUCUGUCACGAGCACACCAAGGAGCUUUCCAGGGACAUGACAUCUGCAUAUGGAGUUUUGCAGCUGAUUUCAUAAAGCUUGCUGCACUUUACCCGCUCUGCUAGGUAAAUAUUUUGCUUCCAAAUCAUCAUUUGCCUUGCUGGGUCGCUGGCAGGCUGAGACCUUUGGAGCUUUUUGAGUAUUCAGACUCCCUUGUGAUGAAGCCAGCUCCAGCCAGUGCUCAGGAGCAUGGAAAUGGGAGCUUUUCUGUUGGGGCCCGUUGUUAUCUGCUCGAUCCCUCCGUGCCGUGCUCCUCACAGAGGCACCCGAGCCGUGUGCGUGGGUCAGCUGUCUGGCCUGAGUCAUUAUCGCUGUUUUGCAGGCCCAGGGCAGCUCGGUAACAUCUGCAGCGAUGGCAGCACCUCUGGAAAGUUAAUGCCUCGGGGGUGGUUUGAGCAUUGAGCAAGCUGUCAUGCUCUUUCACUGUGCCUGCUCUGCUCGCUCCCUCCUGCCAGCAGCAGGAGCUGAAAAGCUGCCCUGCCUUAGUGGAUGCUAACACAUGGCUUAUUGAAAGAGGUCCCAGUGACUCAAAGUGGAGGAAAAACACCAUGCUCGGGCUUGAGCCUCCCUUAUGAAACACUGGGAUGAAAGUAGUAUUUUUUUUAAGCAUGGUCUCUGUAAUCUGACUCCUCCAAGUUCUCCUGAAUGUUUGUUGGCCGGUAUCCAUCUCCAGCACUGCCUGUGCUCUAGGGGGCUGUGGGACCUCUGUGUGGGCACCCAGGGUUGGCAAAGCUGCCAGAGUGAGAGCAGGGCUUCAGCCCUGGUGAGUCACUGGCACUGGCCAUAGGUGAGCUCAGGCUGCGCUGUUUGGAUGGAUGCUCCUGGGCAUCUGCCUUGGAGAUGUGAUCUGGGGAUGCGUGUCCAAACUGGGCUUUUCUACCAGCAGGAAACAGCCUUGGCAGGGUUUCAUGCUAACAGCUGUAAUCUGUUCAGGUUUAGGUCUGAGGCGGGGGAGUCUGGGUGGGCUAUACCACUGCUGCUUGCAGCCAAGCCAGGAGAGGCAACAGCAUGUGAAGAGGUGGUGAGGGCUCCAGGUGAUGCUUUGCUCUUCCUCAGCCAGAGGAAGAGUCAGGCUGAAUGGUAACUGGCCUCUCCAUCCCUUCGUGAUGCAGCUGCUCUGACUAGCUGACAUGUGGAUUCAUGAACUUUGCUCAAGGACGAGGUGGAAAUCCAGUCUUGGGUAGAACAUUGCAUUUUGGAGGUAAUUGGAAUGUAAUGGGAAGAGCCAAGCCCCAUAUUGCAACACAGGGUGAAAGAUGGAUGUAUCUGAAGGCUUCAUCAGAUCUGGAUCUGAAUUUUGUGACAGGCUCUGUCUUAAUGACUGGCUGGACUGUGCGCUCCUGAAACCUGAACUAUCUCUGCAAGUCAGCUCCACCUCUGGGGGGAAGCUGCCAACAACAUUACCUGCACACCGAGCAUCGGGGGGCUUCUCUGUGCACGGGAUGGUGAAAAAUGCAGCUCAGUUUUAUUUUAGGGCUAUGUUCAUGCAUCUCUUCGGGAAUACAAGAGUUGCCAGGGUGAGCUGAGGCCGAAUUUUGUUGUCUGAUGGUGGGCUGUGGAAGGAGCUAGGGCCCUGGAUACGUGCUACCCUGCCGGCCUUCCCUUUCCACAGCUCCUGCUAGCUUGAGGUCAUGGCACGUGAGUUUUAGGGCCGCUUCUGCAAACCAUCUGUUGUCAUGACAUACAGCACUGCCAGCAUUAGGCAGUCUCAAUGUGUACUUAAAAAUCCCGUCCUCAUCUGAGCUGACCGCUGGCCUUUUGUACCGCUGCUUAGAAUUUGGGCUUUUUCUCGUCUCAGCAAUAAGCUCGUGGUGCUUCCUGCUUGGGUUUUUUCCUCCUGCUCAGUGGUGCCCGGAAUACGUGUUAGCAGUCUGUUGAUGGAAAUGAUAAUGAGGGGAUUUGUCAUGAGAAAUGUGUGUGAACUUUUAAAGCUGUCAUUCAAAAAAAGAUUUUUCACAGUCAACUCUCGAUUAUCUGUGGGUGCAUUAUCUGAGUUGCAGAUUAAAUGUGCUAUGUAUAUAAAAAGAAAACAACAACAAAAAACCCAACAACUCUUUCAGAGGCAUUAUAAAGUACACUGCACGAUGAUUUUUCUUUUUAUUUAUAACCUCAUACUGUCUUAAACUCGAUAUUUAUUUUUUUUUCCAAAGGGAAAGGUAUUAAAGCACGACAUUCCUGUAGCCUCAUUUACAUGUAUUUUGUAUCGUUUGUUUUGCUUUUCCUUCUUUGCCCUCAGUACACCGGAUACUGAGAACUGGUGGUAUCAGAUUAUAGCCCGUGCGGAGGAGGGCUUGUGACAUGGUAACCUUUCCCCAGCUGUUUUCUUCUGGUGCUGCAUGAGAGUUUCUGCAAUGUGAUGCCGAGCAGCCAGAUGGGCUGGAGAGGAAGAGAGGGAGUGCUCUGAUGGGGAAAAUGUCUGUACCUGAGGGAGCGUGAGCCGGUGGCAAACAGCCGAAAGGGAAAGGGCUGCCUCAGGAACCGUUUGUCAGGUUGGAGAAGUGGCGGCUUGUUAAAAACAUGCCUGUUCAGUUAAAAGGCUGAAUUGACAGACAAAAGCUUAGCACAAACUCAGCUGCCAUCACUUCAAAAGCCCUCACAGCUGAAUCAGCAAAUUUCUGUUUCCAUACAUAAUGGAUGCAACCCAUGUGCCACUCCAAUGUCCGUGACAUGAGCAGAGCUCCCAGGGAAGGAUUUGGGGGGGGAUGAGGGCGCAGUGCUGCCUUGGUACCACCUGUGCUGAGAUGCCCACGCUCUUGUUGGCUGAUGUGUGCUCUGCAAAUCCU